UCUCUCUCUCUCUCACACACACACACACACACACACACACACACACACACAAUAGUGUAAUGGCACCAGCUGUCCUGUGAGUAAACACAGACUGGCAGCAGAGAGCUGGAGAAUCCUUUGUACACAAACCCCAGUCUGUGUGUGGACAGAACGUACGGACGGACGCUUGCCUCUCGCUCCGUGUGUAAACACACACUAGACCUGCUGCUUUUCAAACACACUGUGUGAAUGUAAAAGCAUGUGAUGUGCUACUAAAUGCAAAGGUACAACUAAAGCACUUUGCAUAAGAUGUCUUCAGAAGUGUAAAGUCAGUGUUCAUAAAGGUAGCAGUAGCGAGACUCUGGCUAAAGUGUCAAAGUGCUAAGCUAACGCUGGACCCGAUGGCUUAGUCCGGUCCAGACCGCCAGAUGGUCUGUUUCUCGGCUGAAGUGAGCGUGCCAGCAGAAGCAGAGAUGUUAGCUCAACUGUGCUGUGAACAUUAGCGAGCCGAGCGGAUUCCAGCACUGCUGUAACGGAAAUACACUAAACAACGGACACUAGCUAGCAUUGAUUCACAGUGAAGAACGGAGCGACUAUCCCGAGGUGACUGAAGGGGGGAAAUAAAUGUCCAAAGUGUAUUUUUAACAAGCUUUUCAUCGUCAGUCAAACUGC